rnacentral:tRNA from 1 species
GGGAGUGUGGUGUAGUUGGCAGACACGCCAGCCUCAAGAGCUGGUCCGGGCGACCGGGUGAGGGUUCGACUCCCUCCACUCCUA